rnacentral:rRNA from 1 species
UGGUUGUGGUGAGGGUAGUGGGUAAAGAAGCGCCGGCUAACUACGUGCCAGCAGCCGCGGUAAUACGUAGGGCGCGAGCGUUGUCCGGAAUUAUUGGGCGUAAAGGGCUUGUAGGCGGUUGGUCGCGUCUGCCGUGAAAUCCUCUGGCUUAACUGGGGGCGUGCGGUGGGUACGGGCUGGCUUGAGUGCGGUAGGGGAGACUGGAACUCCUGGUGUAGCGGUGGAAUGCGCAGAUAUCAGGAAGAACACCGGUGGCGAAGGCGGGUCUCUGGGCCGUUACUGACGCUGAGGAGCGAAAGCGUGGGGAGCGAACAGGAUUAGAUACCCUGGUAGUCCACGCUGUAAACGUUGGGCACUAGGUGUGGGGGCCACCCGUGGUUUCUGCGCCGUAGCUAACGCUUUAAGUGCCCCGCCUGGGGAGUACGGCCGCAAGGCUAAAACUCAAAGGAAUUGACGGGGGCCCGCACAAGCGGCGGAGCAUGCGGAUUAAUUCGAUGCAACGCGAAGAACCUUACCAAGGCUUGACAUGCACGGCGGCGCUGCAGAGAUGUGGUGGCAUUUGGUUGGUCGUGUGCAGGUGGUGCAUGGUUGUCGUCAGCUCGUGUCGUGAGAUGUUGGGUUAAGUCCCGCAACGAGCGCAACCCUUGCCCUAUGUUGCCAGCACGUGAUGGUGGGGACUCGUGGGGGACUGCCGGGGUUAACUCGGAGGAAGGUGGGGAUGACGUCAAAUCAUCAUGCCCCUUAUGUCUUGGGCUUCACGCAUGCUACAAUGGUUGGUACAGAGGGUUGCGAUACUGUGAGGUGGAGCGAAUCCCUUAAAGCCAGUCUCAGUUCGGAUUGGGGUCUGCAACUCGACCCCAUGAAGGUGGAGUCGCUAGUAAUCGCAGAUCAGCAACGCUGCGGUGAAUACGUUCUCGGGCCUUGUACACACCGCCCGUCACGUCACGAAAGUUGGUAACACCCGAAGCCCAUGGCCUAACCGUUUUUGCGGGGGGAGUGGUCGAAGGUGGGAUUGGCGAUUGGGACGAAGUCGUAACAAGGUAGCCGUACCGGAAGGUGCGGCUGG